UCAGCAAGAGACCUACAGCAUUCCAACCAGAUUGUCUUCCUGUUUCACCGAGGAGAUACGACAUCAAAACUCUUUGCGGCUGGGCUGAAUGUGAAUGAAUCUGAUCAAUCUUCCAGCAGUUGGUUCCCUCAUCUAAACUAAGCGUGCAUCUCAAGGUGUCAGAGUUCCAGCAGAAAGUCAUCGCUUGCUGCAAGUCAACUAAGCAUCUUAGGACUAUCUUAAAGGAGGGGAACUCCCCAGCCUGCUCCAACUUUGAAUUCAGCUGAGAAUCAACCUCAGAAAUUUGAUUGUAAGAAGCCUUACAGCUUACAAAGAAUCCUCUGCUUUGCAACACCUUCUCUUCAGCUAAAAUAUUAACUCAUCUCUGUUAGAAUGUCUUCUAAAGCUAGUCCCUGGGAACAGUUGGAUGCUACAAUCAAUAAUCUACUCAUCAAACUUCAAGAAUUACACCAGUCUGACACUCUAACACGUAUCUCCUUUAUCAUCAUCCUGACAUUCAUCUGUACUUUUCUCCUGUUGCUUUUUAUUCCUAUCAUUUGUUGUUGCUGUUCCUGCAAUUGCGGAAAAAGAACUGGCAGAGUGAAACCCACAUUCCAUCCCUAACUAUAUGAAUCCUCAGAUGAGCAUGACAACACAUGAGCAAUGGGCUUACCUGGCAGUGGUGUACAAUGAAGAUAGACUGUGCUGUUCAUUUGUCAUGCGCCACUUUGUGCACAUCUAGGAUGGGACAAAACACCUGGUCGAAGAGCUGUCUCCAAUUGUUGGCCCUAAUAUGACAGUUUUUUGGUUGGAUAUCAAAGGACAUCUCAAAACACACUGAAAACCCUGGACCUGAUAAAUAUAUACAUGUGUAUACCUUCAACCGUUAUCAAAUACUCCAAACCCUUCACAGUUAUUUAAAUCCAUCAAUACAGUGAACACCCUCACUCUCACUUUAUUCAAGCACUUUUCACCAAAUGGCAGGUCUUGACACCAUUGAUUCAAAAAGAUAUAUAUAUAUAUAAAACAAUUAACAAUGUACUACACAUCAGGAAGGACCAGCAACCUUCAUCCUAGCCACCAUCCUGGCCAAAGUGGGACUGAGGUUUAUUCAGCUCAAAGCAUAUAAUAUAACCAUAAACCAAAGGACAGCUAACACACCAGCUAAUUUGCUCUGACCCUGGGGAGUAUUUUUUACUGGCUACCAAAAUAGCCGAGUUACUAUAGGGGCCUCCCAUAUUCAUGCACAUGUAUAUUAUUUACAAUCCUAUUAAGCUACAUAGGAGCAACCCAUGAUCACAGUCACCAGUAACAACAGACCUCCUGCCACAACCUGGUCUUUUUCAUUCUUAAGCCAACUUUCACAGUACCUGUUUUUAAAUGUCAACUGUCACAAUUGAUAUUGAUGUUAAAUGCAAUGCUCUACUGAGCUCCAUUAUUAUUAAUUGCUGCUUUAUCCCCAGCCUCACAAACAGCCCUUCAGUACAAUUGCUUCUAAUUGAAUUAUAAAUAAGAAAUUUUAAACAGAGUGUUUAAUAAACUGUUGCA